rnacentral:rRNA from 1 species
GUGCCAGCAGCCGCGGUAAUUCCAGCUCUAAUAGCGCAUAUUAAAGUUGUUGCAGUUAAAAAGCUCGUAGUUGGAUUUUGCAGCAGAGGUGACUGCCGGCCUUUGGUCAGGCUGUCUCCUUGGCUGUUUUUUGUCGGGGACUACGUCACUCUUAACUGAGGGGCGCUAGGACGCGGCUCGUUUACUUUGAAAAAAUUAGAGUGUUCAAAGCAGGCCUUUGCUUGAAUACAUUAGCAUGGAAUAAUGGAAUAGGACUUUGGUCUUAUUUUGUUGGUUUCUGAGACCGAAGUAAUGAUUAAUAGGGAUAGUUGGGGGCGUUUAUAUUCCCAUGUCAGAGGUGAAAUUCUUGGAUUUUGGGAAGAUAAACUUCUGCGAAAGCAUUCGCCAAGGAUGUUUUCAUUAAUCAAGAACGAAAGUUAGGGGAUCGAAGACGAUCAGAUACCGUCGUAGUCUUAACCAUAAACUAUGCCGACUAGGGAUCAGUAGACGUUAUUUUAUGACUCUAUUGGCACCUUGUGAGAAAUCAAAGUUUUUGGGUUCCGGGGGGAGUAUGGUCGCAAGGCUGAAACUUAAAGGAAUUGACGGAAGGGCACCACCAGGAGUGGAGCCUGCGGCUUAAUUUGACUCAACACGGGGAAACUUACCAGGUCCAGACAUAGUAAGGAUUGACAGAUUGAAAGCUCUUUCUUGAUUCUAUGGGUGAUGGUGCAUGGCCGUUCUUAGUUGGUGGAGUGAUUUGUCUGGUUAAUUCCGUUAACGAACGAGACCUUAACUUACUAAAUAGUUACGCGAGCUCCGGCUGGCGGAACUUCUUAGAAGGACAAUGUGUGUUUAAUGCAUGGGAGUUUGAGGCAAUAACAGGUCUGUGAUGCCCAA